GCUACGGGUGGCAGCAGUAGGGAAUCUUCCACAAUGGGCGAAAGCCUGAUGGAGCAACGCCGCGUGGGUGAAGAAGGUCUUCGGAUCGUAAAACCCUGUUGUCAGAGAAGAAAGUGUGAGAGAGUAACUGUUAACGUUUCGACGGUAUCUAACGAGAAAGCCACGGCUAACUACGUGCCAGCAGCCGCGGUAAUACGUAGGUGGCAAGCGUUAUCCGGAUUGAUUGGGCGUAAAGGGAACGCAGGGGGUCUUUAAAGUCUGAUGGGAAAGCGUUCGGGUUAACGGGAGUAGUACAUUGGAAAACUGGGAGACUUGAGGGCAGAAGAGGAGAGUGGAACUCCAUGUGUAGCGGUGAAAUGCGUAGAUAUAUGGAAGAACACCAGUGGCGAAGGCGGCUCUCUGGUCUGUAACUGACGCUGAGGUUCGAAAGCGUGGGUAGCAAACAGGAUUAGAUACCCCAGUAGUC
rnacentral:rRNA from 1 species